CCUACGGGAGGCAGCAGUGAGGAAUAUUGGUCAAUGGCCGAGAGGCUGAACCAGCCAAGUCGCGUGAGGGAAGACUGCCCUAUGGGUUGUAAACCUCUUUUGUCAGGGAGCAACGCCGGCUACGUGUAGCCGGACUGAGAGUCCCCGAAGAAAAAGCAUGGGCUAACUCCGUGCAAGCAGCGGCGGUAAUACGGAGGAUGCGAGCGUUAUCCGGAUUUAUUGGGUUUAAGGGGUGCGUAGGCGGAAUGCCAAGUCAGCGGUAAAAUCGCGGGGCUCAACCUCGCUCCGCCGUUGAAACUGGCGUUCUUGAGUGGGCGAGAAGUAUGCGGAAUGCGUGGUGUAGCGGUGAAAUGCAUAGAUAUCACGCAGAACUCCGAUUGCGAAGGCAGCAUACCGGCGCCCAACUGACGCUGAAGCACGAAGGCGUGGGUAUCGAACAGGAUUAGAUACCCUAGUAGUC
rnacentral:rRNA from 1 species